GUAGCUCAGUGGUAGAGCACUUGCCUAGCAUGCAGGAGGCCUUGGAUUCAAUUCCCUGC
rnacentral:tRNA from 1 species